CCUACGGGCGGCUGCAGUGGGGAAUAUUGGACAAUGGGGGCAACCCUGAUCCAGCCAUGCCGCGUGUGUGAAGAAGGCCCUCGGGUUGUAAAGCACUUUCAGUGGGGAAGAACGGCUGGUGGUUAAUACCCAUCAGGAAAGACAUCACUCACAGAAGAAGCACCGGCUAACUCCGUGCCAGCAGCCGCGGUAAUACGGAGGGUGCGAGCGUUAAUCGGAAUUACUGGGCGUAAAGCGCGCGUAGGUGGCUUGAUAAGCCGGUUGUGAAAGCCCCGGGCUCAACCUGGGAAUGGCAUCCGGAACUGUCGAGCUAGAGUGCAGGAGAGGAAGGUAGAAUUCCCGGUGUAGCGGUGAAAUGCGUAGAGAUCGGGAGGAAUACCAGUGGCGAAGGCGGCCUUCUGGGCUGACACUGACACUGAGGUGCGAAAGCGUGGGUAGCAAACAGGAUUAGAUACCCGGGUAGUC
rnacentral:rRNA from 1 species